AUUGAACGCUGGCGGCAGGCUUAACACAUGCAAGUCGAGCGGGGGAAGGUAGCUUGCUACCGGACCUAGCGGCGGACGGGUGAGUAAUGCUUAGGAAUCUGCCUAUUAGUGGGGGACAACAUCUCGAAAGGGAUGCUAAUACCGCAUACGUCCUACGGGAGAAAGCAGGGGAUCUUCGGACCUUGCGCUAAUAGAUGAGCCUAAGUCGGAUUAGCUAGUUGGUGGGGUAAAGGCCUACCAAGGCGACGAUCUGUAGCGGGUCUGAGAGGAUGGUCGGCGACACUGGGACUGAGACACGGCCCAUAAUCCUACGGGAGGCAGCAGUGCGGAAUAUUGGAGAAGGGGGGGAACACUGAUCCAGCCAUGCAGCGGGUGUGAAGGAGGCCUUAUGGUUGUAAAGCACGUUAAGCGAGGAGGAGGCUACUCUAGUUAAUACCUAGGGAUAGUGGACGUUACUCGCAGAAUAAGCACCGGCUAACUCUGUGCCAUCGGCCUCAGUAA
rnacentral:rRNA from 1 species